AGCUUACUUACAUUUUAGAUGAGUUUUUGGCUAAGGUUAACCUAUAGGUUAACCUGAUUAGUCUAUACAAUUUGAAUGAAAUGUCUAAUAACCAUUCACUCAACCCAUAUUUAAUAAGUUUCUGCAUUAAGUGCUAGGUGGGGCCGGGUGAUACAGUGUAGGUGAGAAGACAGAUCAGGGUAACACGGUAGCACAUUCUAUAACACAGGUAGAAGAUAUAACAUUUUAACAGAGCCCAGGGGCAACAGGAAGAGUGCCCAGGAAUACGAAGAGGUCGAUAAAUGAAGCAGACACACAAAGACAGAAUUUCUUUCAGGCCCACAGAACCAGACUCUAAGUAAGUGACUGAAAGCUUUAUUUUACAGCACAUAAAGAGCCCUUGGGUGAGCCUGCUAAAAUGCAGAUUCUUGGGCCCAACCCUCAAAGAUUUUGAUUCAGAAGGUGUGAGAGUCGGCCAAGGAAUCUACAUUUUUUUUUUUUUUUUUUUUUUUUCCCGAGACAGAGUCUCACUUUGUUGCCCAGGCUGGAGUGCGGUGGCGUGACCUUGGCUCACUGCAACCUCCACCUCCUGGGCCUCAGCCUCCCCAGUAGUUGGGAUUACAGGCGCGUGCCACCAGGCCCGGCUAAUUUUUCUAUUUUUUGGUAGAGACGGGGUUUCACCAUGAUGGCCAGGCUGGUCUUAACCUCCUGACCUCAGGUAAUCUGUCUGCCUCAGCCUCCCAAAGUGCUGGGAUUACAGGUGUGAGCCACCACGCCCAGCCUACAUUUUUAAUUGUCGUCUCAGGAGACUCUAUUGCAGAAGGUCCUUGGCCCAUUCUUACUUAUCAGCCAUUUAACCCAUCAAAAGACAGGCAGUGUGAACAGGUGAACACUGAGGUGCAGAGAGAGAAAAGCUGUGGAAGCUGUGGCUCUACAACCAGCAACGUCAAAAGGACAGGAGUUGCGGAUUCCUAUUUUGGCUUUCCUGAGACCCUCAUAUUAAGAAAGGGCAGGGAACUUCAUUCUGAUUACUAAAAAGUGACUAUCCUGUUAAAAACUAAAAACUAGGUUUUAUAUAGCAAUCUGGUAUGGCGUGCUGAAGCAUCUCUUCAUCAUCAAGACACCAGUCACUCGAGGUUUAAUUAUUAAGCCUGACCUGUCCCUGAAACAUGAGGACUCAACUGAGGGCUACCAUGUGAAACUGCCUGAGUGGCUGGCAGAUACCCCAUGUGACAGCCCCAUUAGUGCAUGCUCUCCUCAGACUGGAACAGAAGGAAGGCUUCAUGGAGUAGGUGGCACCUGAGGCGCCAUUCAUUGAAGGAUAAUGGUGAAGAAGAGGAUAACCAACAGCCAACCUGACUGCUCACUUACUAUGUGCCAGGCGCUUUACACAGGUGAUCUCAUGGGAUCCCCACAGCAACUCUGCGACGUAGAUGCUAUUAUCAUCCCCAAGAUCACACUGCUACACGGCGGGCUUCCCCAGCGGCCACGUGAGGUGUGAUGCCCCCACCGCUGAGCGCAGGCACAGACCACCCAGCUGCCUUGGAGGGAUUUGUAAAAGGAAACAACCCAUGUACCUGUUAAGUGCAGAUGUCAGCCUGAACCCAGGAUGCUUUUCGUCUUUCCAAGGAGGCUGCUGCCUUUAAAAACCAGAACAACAUAAAAGGAAAAGAAGUCAAUCCACAGACAGCAAAGGAGGGCCUCAGCACUUGCAUUUGAGAACUGGCUCUUCUACUCACCUCGCUCUGCAAGAGUUACUUAAAAAUACCCCACACCUCGCUCAUUUUGCUCAUCAUUGUUAAAAUGAGGAACUGUCUCCACUCUUGCUCCAAACCUGGUAACACUGCCAUUCCCUCUGUGCCACAUGUGAGGGACCCAGGCCCAGGAUUCUAGUCUAGGUACCUCACCCCCUGGAAACAGUGUUUGGCUCAGGGAUCGGCUCACGACGCAAACAGAACCAAGGAGAGUGCUUUUGAGUGGAAAAAAAAGGAGUGCCCCAAUAGGGCUGGUAAGCCCAAGGGCCGUCUGAACCUGGGGGUCUUCACCUUGGAGAAAGCCUGUCUGUUAUGCCUGAAGUCAUCUCAGAAGUGGUACCACAGAGAUAAAUGAAGAUUCUGAGGCCAAAGGAGAAUUGCAGGGAAGAUAAAUCCUGAAAACUUUUCAAACAUUUCAG
rnacentral:lncRNA from 1 species